rnacentral:rRNA from 1 species
CCUACGGGAGGCAGCAGUGGGGAAUAUUGCACAAUGGGCGCAAGCCUGAUGCAGCGACGCCGCGUGAGGGAUGACGGCCUUCGGGUUGUAAACCUCUUUCAGUAGGGAAGAAGCGAAAGUGACGGUACCUGCAGAAGAAGCGCCGGCUAACUACGUGCCAGCAGCCGCGGUAAUACGUAGGGCGCAAGCGUUAUCCGGAAUUAUUGGGCGUAAAGAGCUCGUAGGCGGUUUGUCGCGUCUGCCGUGAAAGUCCGGGGCUCAACUCCGGAUCUGCGGUGGGUACGGGCAGACUAGAGUGAUGUAGGGGAGACUGGAAUUCCUGGUGUAGCGGUGAAAUGCGCAGAUAUCAGGAGGAACACCGAUGGCGAAGGCAGGUCUCUGGGCAUUAACUGACGCUGAGGAGCGAAAGCAUGGGGAGCGAACAGGAUUAGAUACCCUGGUAGUCCAUGCCGUAAACGUUGGGCACUAGGUGUGGGGGACAUUCCACGUUUUCCGCGCCGUAGCUAACGCAUUAAGUGCCCGCCUGGGGAGACGCGCAGNGAACACAAGAGUGAGNGNGNGAGNGCGAGACGACGACGAGGGAGAGG